AUUGAACGCUGGCGGCAGGCUUAACACAUGCAAGUCGAGCGGAGAUGAGGUGCUUGCACCUUAUCUUAGCGGCGGACGGGUGAGUAAUGCUUAGGAAUCUGCCUAUUAGUGGGGGACAACAUUCCGAAAGGAAUGCUAAUACCGCAUACGCCCUACGGGGGAAAGCAGGGGAUCUUCGGACCUUGCGCUAAUAGAUGAGCCUAAGUCGGAUUAGCUAGUUGGUGGGGUAAAGGCCUACCAAGGCGACGAUCUGUAGCGGGUCUGAGAGGAGGAUCCGCCACACUGGGACUGAGGCACGGCCCAGAGUCCUACGGGAGGUAGCAGUGGGGAAUAUUGGACAAUGGGCGGAAGCCUGAUCCAGCCAUGCCGCGUGUGUGAAGAAGGCCUUUUGGUUGUAAAGCACUUUAAGCGAGGAGGAGGCUACCUAGAUUAAUACUCUAGGAUAGUGGACGUUACUCGCAGAAUAAGCACCGGCUAACUCUGUGCCAGCCGCCGCCGUAAAAC
rnacentral:rRNA from 1 species